rnacentral:rRNA from 1 species
CAUCGCCGCGGGAAUACGAAGGGGGCUAGCGUUGCUCGGAAUGACUGGGCGUAAAGGGCGCGUAGGCGGAUUGCGCAGUCAGAUGUGAAAUUCCUGGGCUUAACCUGGGGGCUGCAUUUGAGACGCGUAGUCUAGAGUGUGAAAGAGGGUCGUGGAAUUCCCAGUGUAGAGGUGAAAUUCGUAGAUAUUGGGAAGAACACCGGUGGCGAAGGCGGCGACCUGGUUCAUAACUGACGCUGAGGCGCGAAAGCGUGGGGAGCAAACAGGAUUAGAUACCCCAGUAGUCCCUGUCUCUUAUACA